rnacentral:lncRNA from 1 species
ACAUUUAGCACCCACACAUUCUGGUUCUGGAGUCCACAAGCUUAACCACCACUUAAAAUUGCUGCUACUAAAAAAGAAUUCUCCAGAAAAAUAUGAGAUGCCCCCAAACAAAAGAAGAAAAAGAAGGAGGAAAAAAGGAUAGAGUCAACCAGAUGACUCAAACUUGUUCUGGCUCGAGUUUACCAAGGAUGCGUUUCAAUUCCAUUGGAAGGAAGAAGAGCACCUUGAGAUGUCAGCCACCAUGAUGCUGUGUUUCUGUUUCCCUUUGACCUGUUAUAAAGCUGUAGAACUACAGACAUAAGCUCUUGUGUCUCUCUUCCUUUGGAUUAUAUUGCUGAACAUGUUCAUUUUUUGCCCUUUCAUGGAGGUAUAAAAAUGGCACGUGUAUCUCCACGUACUCGUUUGACGUGUGCUCGUGAAAUCUGCUUGUGUGCCCACAUGAUGGUGUAUGAAGCAGCUCUCGGUGACUGACCUCUCAAUUUUCUCUGUGAAAGAUGAGUUAGAUAUUUUGGGUAAAGAUGAGUGUUGAAGCUGUCCUGGGAACAGUGGUUUGAGAAAAAUACUAAAUGUGUAUGCAAUGUAAUGGGAUGUACUUUUAUUUAUCAAUGGGAAAAGAAAGCUGCUUUGUCUUAAAGCAAAGAUUCUGUCCAGAAAGUUAAAGAAGAUAGUGAAAGAAAAAGCUUCCAUGGGCAGAGAAAGUUUACAAGGCUUUCAGAAAGUAAGCUUUAUUUGUCUUAGUUUAUAAUAAUGGCAAAUAAUGAGUGUGGAGAGAAGCAAUGAAACCAUUAAAAUGUUGGCAAAGUAGGAUCAGCUUUUACAAGUUUAUUUAUAAGAUUUAAAUAACUCAUGAAUUCUUUACUGCUAAAAUAUUACAUUAACAGAGCUCUAGAAUGUGGUUUUCUCUGUUAAAAUGACAGAUUGGUAUAGGAGUGUUCAGUCUGCUCUUUAGAAGAGGUAGUAAAAGUUAUUUGUUACCUUCUGUGUAACCUACCCAGACGGCUGAGAUUGAUUCUUUCUUACCAGAUAAACUUUCUGUGCUUAUCCUACUUUGUUGCAUGCUUGAUUACUAAAACAGACAGAACCCAAAGGUUCUUUGCUUCCAAAAGAGCUAAGAUUCCUUCCAAUUGUCCUAACUUCGGCAUAUGUUCAUUUAAAAAUAUUGUGCUGUCAUUUCGAUUAGCAAGAAACCAAGCCACAACCAUUCAUUGCUCUCAGGCUACCAUGCUUCCACCUUAAUCAAGUGACCAGCCUCCUCUGUUAAUGCUUUGAUUUUGUCUUCUCAAGGUCAGACACAAAAUUCAGAAAAAUAAAAUGUAAAUGAAUAAAUAAAUUCAAGAUUUUUUUUUAACUAAUCUAUUUUUUUCAUCUUACACAAGAAACUGCUAGAAAUAGGUUUUUUUUUUUUUUGUCCGGUAUGCUUCAUAUUUCAUACAGCUCAAUACUGUUGUAAAAGCUGCAAGGGAAGAGAAAUUGUGAAAUCAGAGAAGUUUCACCUUUAUUGGUUGCAUUGAAUUCAGGCAAAAAUUUUAUUAAUCUAAAUAUAUUCAGAGAUUGUAUACUUUACAGGAAAGCUCUCACAUGUCCAUAAUGUUACUACUAUAAAGGGAAACUGAUCAAAUUCAUAGGUAACAUUUGUGUAUUAUAUCCAGGGGAUUUUAUUCCCCUCCGUUCUGAUAUUUCUGGUUACUGAUAGAAUUAACCACAGCCAUUCAGCCCUAUCAUCAACAGGCAAUUCUGAUUUCCUCUCCUGCUUGUCUGAAAGUUUUGACAUGAGGUGGAGGCCACACGUCGAUUAUUCUACAAAGUAGAACAGUUUUCAAACCUUAGGAAAAGGAUUGUACCAGGAGCUCUAUUGAUAUCUCAAGGAAUGGACUCAUGGCUACUGGCUUUGGAUUUAAGGUGGCACCACUUACACAAGCGUCAGAAUGUAUUAAGUGGAUGAGUCAAGAUUUCCAGGACUUGUUUUAGUUUAGCAGUAGAUAAAUUUGUGAAAGCAGACUGCUGAGCCAAUACCCAGAGACUCGAGAAUUUGUUACAUGGUACUGAAGCAAGUAUAUUUGUUAGAAUGUUGUUGGUAUUACUGAGCCCUCAGAAUUUAAGAAGUAUUUUUACUAAAUGUGUAUAUUCUUCAUGGCAAUGUAGUUGUAUCAGAAUAGAAUCAAACAUAUCAAUUGUGCAACCAAGACCAUACCUGUGAUAUUAUGCUUGAGAAUAGAUCUUAUUAAAUCAGGUAUCAGAAGCCCAUUAUUAAGAAAUAAGGGGUGUAUUUUACAUAUGAAACUGAUGUGCACCAAGUCCUCCAAGGAAACCAGACUGAUACCUCUUCUAUGUCGUCCAGAGUCCCUGAAGAGUCAUCUUACAGAUGAGAAGGAAGAUCUUCUCCUGGGAGGCCAAAACUUUGGCAGAUAUUGAGUAACUCAGAGAGGAAUUCACUCACAUUUGUAGGCUCUACUGCAAAAUCUGGAGGAGAUAAAUUUUGGGGGAUUGGUUUCCUAGCCUCAGACUAAGAGUUUAAGUUAAAAAAUGUUCUAUAGAGAAGAUUGUCAGAGAAACAAGCACUCUCAUACAUUUCUGGUAGAAAGGCAAAUUGAUACAACCCUUUUGGAGGGGAAUUUGGCAAUAUCUAACAAAGUUACACGCGCACUUGCCUUUUGAUGCACUUACCUCAAUAAUCCUACUUCUAGGAAUUUGUCCUGAAGAAUAUACCUCCAACAAUGGGAGAACAUAUAUGUACAAGUUUAUUCACUGAAGCAUUGUUUAUAAAUGCAAAAUGCUUGAAACAGUCUAAAUGCCUGCAAAGGAGAGUUGUUGAAUAAACAAUGGGACCUUCACACAAAGGAGUACUAUGCAGCUGUAAAGAAGAAUGAGGGAGAUUUCUAUGCACCACACACAUAUUUUUAAAGGGAUAUAUUUUUAGUGAGAAAUUAGAGUGUGAAAGAGAUUCUAUAGUACACUGCCUUAUAUGUGAGAGAGAAGGGGAAACAAGAAAGUAUACAUGAAUCUAUGCAAUUGUGAAAAAGAAACAGAACGGAUAAAGCAGAAACUAAUGGGGUUGGUUACUUACAAGCAAAGGCUAUGCAAAGAGUAAAUGAAUGGGGGAUGGGACCAGGGUUGAAGGAAUGAAGGAGGAGGGUCACUUCUCUGAGUAAACCCUCCAAGAAUUUAAUAUGGUGUUUUGUAUAGUUCUGAUUUUUAGAAGCGUGUUGAUAUUUCACAUUCGUGAAAAAGGAAUUAAUUAAUUAGAAUUAACCAGUACAGAGGAAAAUCCAAAAUGGAAUACAAAUACUAACAAAUCACCCUAACUUUGUUACUAAUGAAUUAUAUAACUGCACCAGAGGGAGUGGGGAAGAAAAGAAUUCACCUAAGUAACUUUGGAAAACAGUAUUUUUUUCCUAUAUUCUCUAAAGCUAAGGACAAAAAAAAAAAAAAAAUGAACUGUAACAUACUGUACUCAGGUUACUAAUCUGUAUUUCAUAGUGUUAUGAGUUAGAAAUUCUGAAACUGCUUUAUGUGUGUUCUAGGAAUAAGUAAAAAGAAAAUACAUUGUGGAUAAUGAUAGCCAAGUUUCUCAUUUUCAGAGAAAGAAAUUAAAAUAAAGGAAAAGGGAAAGCUAGAGUAAACCAUAUGGUGUGGUUGGAAUAAACCCUUACUAGACCUCUCCAAAGAAGAUAUGCAGAUGACACAUAAGCUGAUGAAAAGAGGCUCCACAUCCUGUGCCAUCAAGGAAACGCAAGUCAAUAAGAUACCUCUACAAAGCAAUUAGAAUGGCCAAAAUCCGGAGCACUGACAACACCAGAUGCUGAUAUUCAUUAGGAGUGUUCCAAAAAUUGGAAAUUGGCAAGAUGAAGAAGAUACACCAAUGGAAACUGAAACAGAGCAUCCAUGGAAAAAGGGAGAAAACCUGAGAGAGUCUGUUGUCCUGGAUGCCAAGUGAAGAAGUUGACUCCAAAAGGAAGUGAUAUCAAACCUGAAAUUGGUAGAAAUUCAGGAUCUCUCUACUUUCCCCAAGACUGUGUCCAUGUUCUGGAGUCUUCUAGUGCCAAGGAGUUAGGAGGUUGUGGCCUUCUCUGGUCCUCUUUGUCAUCUAUGGACGCUGAAAUCUGCUGAGAUGUCCUAAUCACUAUCUGGUCCGGGGAAAUUGGUCUGUACAACUGUGGCUGAGACAUGUCUCAUUCAAAUCCAG